rnacentral:lncRNA from 1 species
UUAUUACAUAUUUUUUAAUAUUCUAAAAGAGAAAAUUGUGAAUAAGAUAUUUUUACUUUAUAAUUUUUUUAUGAAUUAAUUGAAUUUUUACAUAAUUUAUUUUAUUGCAAUUCUUAAUCAUUUUUUAAAAUAUUAAAUUUUUAUUUUUUAAUCUUUGAAUAGUAAUAAGAAUUAUUAGAAAAAUAUUUACUAAUAUAAAUUUA